GACAUUUUUUUUCUUUUUUCCUUUUUUUCCUUUUUUUCCUUCUUCUU
rnacentral:ribozyme from 1 species